rnacentral:rRNA from 1 species
CGCAGUGUGCUGGACUUCGCCCUUAGAGUUUGAUCCUGGCUCAGGACGAACGUUGGCGGUGUGUCUAAGGCAUGCAAGUCGAACGAGAUCGCUUUCUUCGGAAAGCAUUAUAUCUAGUGGCAGACGGCUGAGUAACGCGUAAGUAACUUACCCUAGAGUGGGGAAUAACACAGAGAAAUCUGUGCUAAUACCGCAUACGAUUUAUUGAUAAUUUCUGUACAUGAAAGAUUUAUCGCUCUUGGAUGGGCUUGCGUCCUAUCAGGUAGUUUGGCGGGGUAAUGCCCACCAAGCCUAAGACGGGUAGCUGGUGUGAGAGCACGACCAGCCAGAGGGGGACUGAGACACGGCCCCCACUCCUACGGGAGGCAGCAGCUAAGAAUAUUGCACAAUGGACGAAAGUCUGAUGCAGCGACACCGCGUGAGGGAUGAAGGUUACAAGAUAUGUAAACCUCUAUUAUUAGGGAGUAGCAAGGACGGUACCUAAUGAAUAAGCUACGGCUAACUACGUGCCAGCAGCCGCGGUAAUACGUAGGUAGCGAACGUAGUCCGGAAUCACUGGGCGUAAAGGGUCC